AAGCUCUACCAUGUCUUCGGUACAUAAACUUUUGAAAAGAAAGACUAUCCAUCAGCAACGUCCACGACCAACAAAUAUUGUUUAUAACAAAAAUCUGUUAUUUAUAAGAGAAAGCAAAAUGUUAGUAGUAUCGCAAGAAAGCAAAAUGUUAGUAGUAUCUCAAGAAAAAACAAUUGACACGUGAUUACUUGAAUACGAUUUAAGAAUUAUAAAAUACACAUAACCGUGUUAACUUUUCUCCAUCUUCGACUUCUUGUUGAAUAAACACGUUUCCAUUCAAUAGCAUUAUCAUUUCAAUACUGCAAAAAUUGAAAUGAAUCGUUUAGUUAUAUGUCUUUUAAAAAAUAAAUUUUCAACUCUUAUAAGUCUUAGGCUUCAAAUUAAUAUUUAUGGGUUCGUGGGAGCUCAAUCCAUGAAAUCCUUCUUUGCAGCUUGUACUUCGUUCAUACACCAUUACUCUUUUAUGAUAUAUGCAAUUAUGUAUGCAUGAAGUAAAAGAAAACUAUUUUUUUUAAUUUUGACGAAUUAUUGAGCUUCUGUCUUCACAUAUUGUAUAGUUAGAUUUCACAACAUUUUCAUUUAUUUAUUUUGGUGAAUAUUAAUGAAGAUUUUAUAUCCACAAUGUAAAUGAACUAAUUUUCAUUUUUUGUCUAGAAGAGUUAUGGGAUCAUUUUAAAUACUAAAAGUUCUCAUUCUUAUAUCCUAUUGACUUAAUCAAACAUUAGUGUACAUAAUAAACCAAAGAAAAAGAUACCCAAAAAUCUCAAGAGCUAAGAAACCUCACAUUAAAGUAUUACAUUUCCCAAUCUUAAGGGUAGACCUUGAACAAAUAAACAGAAACAGACAAAGCACAUGAUUUAAAAUGUCACUUCCUUCAUAUUUUCAAAUUUCUCACAAAUAAAAUUAUGAUGAAAAUAACUUGUAAAUAUUAAGUUUUAAUACUGAUAACAGACAGAAUAAAUGAAUCUAUGUCAUAGAAUUCGAAAAAGGGUGUUUUUUAAAACAUUUAAUAAGUUGUACGACUCUUUUUAUUAUUUUCUUUUAGUGGAUAAGCACGCAGUACUCUUAUUCGACAAACUAAACAUUUAAUUAAGAAAAGUGAAGGCAACUUCUACUAAAGCAAAUGAUGUCAUAAUUGUUUCACAUCUUACUUAUAUAUACUUUAGCAAAAUUUAUUCUACUCUUUUUUGGUAAAGAGGGCUUAUUUAAUGAAAGUGACUUAAAGUAUCUUCGUGGAUUUAUUUAAUUCGAAAUGUUGAAUAAUUAAUUUCAUUUGAGUUUCAGAAUUGAUUAGAUCUAUUUCAAAGUUUACUCUUUUGUGUUAGUAGAAGGACACCAAGAAUUAUACCAAGAAUCAAAAUUCAUAAUCUUUGGACUGGUUGCACAUACCACCAGGGAGGUGAUUGUAAUAUGCAUUUAUUGAAACGCAUACAUAUGAGUGUUGUAGUAGUAGUUAGUGACAUUGGUUGAUUUUUGGGAUUCGAUUAAAGGAUAUUUUUUUAUUAUAAAAAAGUUGUAGAAUGGAAAUAAUUUUCAUAUACUCCAUAAGGAAUUAGUCUGGUAAUAACUGAAUUCAAGUAGUGUGUUUUGGUUGUUGGGUCUAAGUGAGUUGAUAAAUUUUUGUGUCUGUUCCUUUUUCCUUUUGACUUAUAAAAACACAUUCAACCUCAUAAAAAGGGGAUUGUUUAUUGAUUUGAGUUGCUAAAAAAGGGGGACAAUUGUGAUCUUUUGAAGGGAAUUCAAGUAGUGUGAUUUUUUGCUAUAACAAUUCACAUAUAGGCACAAUUUUGGCUAUACUUACAAACAGUCCCAAGUUAUAUCUGAAGGAACCUCUAGACAUUCAAAUACACUUCAAAACAUCAUUAAAACUUAUCACCGUGACCUUAAUAAGCUUGCACAGUCAGUUUGAUUUUUGGCACCAAAACAGUCCACUUAUAAGCUUUCUUUUGUCUUAAAGAACACAUGGAAUAACAAUAUAGAUAACACAUAAUACCAUGAACAUGGACUGAUUUUGACAUAGUGUACAUUCAUGGUUUUAUUUCCAUCAUAUAUAUAUCCAGAUGACUUAAUAGAUAACAUCCAGCAAACCGUCACCAAGCUACUUGGCUAGCAUACAAACAUCCCAAAACAGUCAUUAUACUUGGGCAUAUAAAGCAUGUGUUAGCAACAUUACACAAAAACAGACCCUUAUCUUGGUAUAUUCUUAAACAGGUAAGGCGAUGUCCUUAUAUUCACACAUAGUACAUGUAUUCCUAACUCUUUGAUCCCAGCCUUAUGGCAUUAAAAUCAUAACCAAAUCAGCCACCUUAUAUUAUCAACAUAGCCACAAUGAUAAUCUUUAAUCAAAUAUAAACACCACCUUAAAAAUCAACAUUGUAGUCCAUAUAAUUUCCAAGUUAUCCAACCAAUUACCACUUAAGAAUAAACACCAGAAGAACAAAAGAUCCACUGAAGAAAAGGAUUACCUUGGAUUAGGACAACGCCAAUUGUCAUCCCUGCCACUUCCACCACCACUGCCACGACCACCUCCUACUUGGUAUCCUCCUCCUCCCCUCCUCUACCACCACGAUCCCCUCCUUGAUAUCCACCACCUC
rnacentral:lncRNA from 1 species